AGAGUUUGAUCAUGGCUCAGAAUGAACGCUGGCGGCGUUAACACAUGCAAGUCGCACGAGAACGCUUCAGCUUGCUGAAGCUAGUAAAGUGGCGUACGGGUGAGUAACGCGUGGGUAAUCUAUCUCUGGAUUGGGGAUAACAUUGCGAAAGCGAUGCUAAUACCGGAUAAUAUCCAUUAAACCUCGGUUUUUUGGAUCAAAAGGUGGCCUCUACAUGUAAGCUACUGUUUGGAGACGAGCCCGCGUACCAUUAGCUUGUUGGUAGGGUAACGGCUUACCAAGGCAACGAUGGUUAGCUGGUCUGAGAGGAUGAUCAGCCACACUGGAACUGACACACGGUCCAGACUCCUACGGGAGGCAGCAGUGAGGAAUUUUGCGCAAUGGGGGAAACCCUGACGCAGCAACGCCGCGUGAGUGAUGAAGGCUUUCGGGUCGUAAAGCUCUGUCAAGUGGGAAGAACCCGCGCCGCACAAAUAGUGCGGUGCGCUGACGGUACCACUGAAGGAAGCACCGGCUAACUCCGUGCCAGCAGCCGCGGUAAUACGGGGGGUGCAAGCGUUAUUCGGAAUCAUUGGGCGUAAAGAGCGCGUAGGCGGUCUUCUAUGUCAGGUGUGAAAGCCCGGGGCUCAACCCCGGAAGUGCACUUGAAACUGGGAGACUUGAGUAUGGGAGAGGGAAGUGGAAUUCCUGGUGUAGCGGUGAAAUGCGUAGAUAUCAGGAGGAACACCGGUGGCGAAGGCGACUUCCUGGACCAAUACUGACGCUGAGGCGCGAAGGCGUGGGGAGCAAACAGGAUUAGAUACCCUAGUAGUCC
rnacentral:rRNA from 1 species